rnacentral:rRNA from 1 species
UACGAAGGGUGCAAGCGUUACUCGGAAUUACUGGGCGUAAAGCGUGCGUAGGUGGUGAGUUAAGUCUGUCGUGAAAGCCCCGGGCUCAACCUGGGAAUGGCGAUGGAUACUGGCUCGCUAGAGUGCAGUAGAGGAGAGUGGAAUUCCCGGUGUAGCAGUGAAAUGCGUAGAGAUCGGGAGGAACAUCAGUUGCGAAGGCGGCUCUCUGGACCAGCACUGACACUGAGGCACGAAAGCGUGGGGAGCAAACAGG